CGAAGCAGAGGACGCCUAUACGGAGGGUCCUCUUCAUUCAACCCCCCAGAAACAGACAUCUGUGAAACUGGCUCCCACAUGGACCAAGCCACUGGAGAGGGCGUCUUCAUCCACCACCAUGGCCACCCAAAGUCCAAGAAGUCUUCACUAUGAGGAUCCACACCUCACUGGAGCUACUGCGAUGGACAAGUGCCACCUGCCAUUGUUGUUGGACGCAAGCAUGACCUCUGAGACCGGUAC